AGGUAGCUUGCUACUGAUCUUAACGGCGGANGGGUCCCUUUUGNUUAGGAAUCUGCCUAUUAGUGGGGGACAACAUUNCNNAAGGAAUGCUAAUACCGCAUACGUCCUACGGGAGAAAGCAGGGGAUCUUCGGACCUUGCGCUAAUAGAUGAGCCUAAGUCGGAUUAGCUAGUUGGUGGGGUAAAGGCCUACCAAGGCGACGAUCUGUAGCGGGUCUGAGAGGAUGAUCCGCCACACUGGGACUGAGACACGGCCCAGACUCCUACGGGAGGCAGCAGUGGGGAAUAUUGGACAAUGGGCGGAAGCCUGAUCCAGCCAUGCCGCGUGUGUGAAGAAGGCCUUAUGGUUGUAAAGCACUUUAAGCGAGGAGGAGGCUACUUUAGUUAAUACCUAGAGAUAGUGGACGUUACUCGCAGAAUAAGCACCGGCUAACUCUGUGCCAGCAGCCGCGGUAAUACAGAGGGUGCAAGCGUUAAUCGGAUUUACUGGGCGUAAAGCGCGCGUAGGCGGCUAAUUAAGUCAAAUGUGAAAUCCCCGAGCUUAACUUGGGAAUUGCAUUCGAUACUGGUUAGCUAGAGUGUGGGAGAGGAUGGUANAAUUCCAGGUGUAGCGGUGAAAUGCGUAGAGAUCUGGAGGAAUACCGAUGGCGAAGGCAGCCAUCUGGCCUAACACUGACGCUGAGGUGCGAAAGCAUGGGGAGCAAACAGGAUUAGAUACCCUGGUAGUCCAUGCCGUAAACGAUGUCUACUAGCCGUUGGGGCCUUUGAGGCUUUA
rnacentral:rRNA from 1 species